rnacentral:rRNA from 1 species
UAAGCGGAGGAAAAGAAACUAACAAGGAUUCCCCUAGUAACGGCGAGUGAAGCGGGAAGAGCUCAAAUUUGAAAUCUGGCGGCAUCCUGUCGUCCGAGUUGUAAUCUAUAGAAGUGUUUUCCGCGUCGGACCAUGUACAAGUCCCUUGGAACAGGGCGUCAUAGAGGGUGAGAAUCCCGUCCUUGACAUGAUCUCCGGUGCUAUGUGAUACACUUUCAACGAGUCGAGUUGUUUGGGAAUGCAGCUCAAAAUGGGUGGUGAAUUCCAUCUAAAGCUAAAUAUUGGCGAGAGACCGAUAGCGAACAAGUACCGUGAGGGAAAGAUGAAAAGCACUUUGGAAAGAGAGUUAAACAGUACGUGAAAUUGUUGAAAGGGAAACGAUUGAAGUCAGUCAUGCUCUUUGGGUUAAGCCUUUCGGGGUGUAUUCCAUUGAGUGGGGUCAACAUCAGUUUUGACCGCUGGAAAAAGGCACGAGGAAGGUAGCACUCUCGGGUGAACUUAUAGCCUCGCGUCAUAUACAGUGGUUGGGACUGAGGAACGCAGCAUGCCUUAUGGCCGGGAUUCGUCCACGUACAUGCUUAGGAUGUUGACAUAAUGGCUUUAAACGACCCGUCUUGAAACACG